rnacentral:hammerhead_ribozyme from 1 species
GUACUGAUGAAGAGUCCAAAACCAGUGGGAUGAAACAACUGUCCAGUAC